GUGSUUKCUMAGWUAAGCMUGCAUGUGUAAGUACAAGCCGAUGUAAGGUGAAACCGCGAAUGGCUCAUUAAAUCAGCUAUGUUUCAUUGGAUCUGUACCCCCACUUACUUGGAUAACUGUGGUAAUUCUAGAGCUAAUACAUGCACACAGAGUCCCCGACCGCAAGGGAGGGGCGCUUUUAUUAGUUCAAAACCGGUCGGGCCUCGGUCCGUAACCCACCUGUGGUGAAUCUGAAUAACUUUGAGCUGAGCGCACGGUCUCCGCACUGGCGCCGCAUCUUUCAAGUGUCUGCCUUAUCAGCUUUCGAUUGUAGGUUAUUCGCCUACAAUGGCUAUAACGGGUAACGGGGAAUCAGGGUUCGAUUCCGGAGAGGGAGCCUGAGAAACGGCUACCACAUCUAAGGAAGGCAGCAGGCACGUAAAUUACCCAUUCCCAGACCGGGGAGGUAGUGACGAAAAAUAACGAUGCGAGACUCAUCCGAGGCCUCGCAAUCGGAAUGAGUACACUUUAAAUCCUUUAACGAGGACCCAUUGGAGGGCAAGUCUGGUGCCAGCAGCCGCGGUAAUUCCAGCUCCAAUAGCGUAUAUUAAAGUUGUUGCGGUUAAAAAGCUCGUAGUUGGAUUACAGUUCCGGACUGACGGUUCACCGCCCGGUGCUUACUGUCACGCUCCGAACAGCCUGAAAUAUGGCCCCGCCGGCUCGCCCGGGGUGCUCUUUACCGAGUGUCCCGAGUGGCCGGCAUGUUUACUUUGAAAAAAUUAGAGUGCUCAGAGCAGGCUACAUGAAUUGGCCUGAAUGUCUAUGCAUGGAAUAAUGGAAUAGGACCUCGGUUCUAUUUUGUCGGUUUUCUUCGGAACCCGAGGUAAUGACUAAUAGAAACAGGCG
rnacentral:rRNA from 1 species